rnacentral:rRNA from 1 species
GAUGAACGCUGGCGGCGUGCUUAACACAUGCAAGUCGAACGGAAAGGCCUCUGCUUGCAGGGGUACUCGAGUGGCGAACGGGUGAGUAACACGUGGGUGAUCUGCCCUGCACUUCGGGAUAAGCCUGGGAAACUGGGUCUAAUACCGGAUAGGACAAUGGUUUGGAUGCUGUUGUGGAAAGUUUUUCGGUGUGGGAUGAGCUCGCGGCCUAUCAGCUUGUUGGUGGGGUAAUGGCCUACCAAGGCGUCGACGGGUAGCCGGCCUGAGAGGGUGUACGGCCACAUUGGGACUGAGAUACGGCCCAGACUCCUACGGGGGGCAGCAGUGGGGAAUAUUGCACAAUGGGCGCAAGCCUGAUGCAGCGACGCCGCGUGGGGGAUGACGGCCUUCGGGUUGUAAACUCCUUUCGCUAGGGACGAAGCGUUUUUGUGACGGUACCUGGAGAAGAAGCACCGGCUAACUACGUG